rnacentral:lncRNA from 1 species
GCACUUAUUUCUCCAUUGCAGGAGUUGUGAAGCAGAACCACAGGAAGGCAGCUCAACCAGGGGGAUCCUGUUGCUUACCUCCAGUACGUGAGGGGGUGGCAAGGACUCUGGCCCCACGGCAAGAAGACCAACCCUACUGAAGAAUUCUCUACAUAUGGACCAUGAUAUGCAGCUAGAAAUCACCAAGCAGAGAUGUUCCAAGUAUCAAUUUUGUGACAGGAGUAUUUAGAAGAGAAGCAUCAUGAUGCUUGCAUCUUACAUUCAAGUGGUUUGACAAAAACAUCGACAUUAAUUCCUUGAGCUCAAAUAAAUACGUUGCAGAUAAAUGAAGCCACUUUUCUCACUGUUGAAGAAGAAAAUUACAGAUAUGAAAACAGACAGGGUCUGCUCUGUUGGCCAGGCUGGAGCGCAGUGUCACAAUGUCUACUCACUGCAGGCUCUACCUCCUGGGCUCAAGCGAUUCUCACACCUCAGCCUCAAGAAUGGCUCAGACUACAGGCAUGUACCUCUGUGCCUGGCUAAGAUUUGUAGUUUUUUGGUAGACACAGGGUCUCACUAUGUUGCCCAGGCUGGUCUUGAACUCUAUAGUGUUUGAUCAUAGAAGUGGAGAUACUAACCAAAAAUCUUUUCAAAUUAAGCCUAAUAAACACAGACAUAAUAAUCUGACUAUAUUCAAACAAAUCGAAUAGUUAGUGUGCAGAUCCUCUUUCUAGAAAACCAAGUGCCAUUUUUUAAAAAAUCAAAGACUUAAUGAGCAAUUCUUUUUGUGCAAAGGUUGAUCAAGGGCUCACUGUAUUUUAUAUGGUUGUGUGGGAAAAUGCAUUACUAGUUUAUUAUGGCUUGGGUCCAUUCUCAAGGUGCCUCGUUUUUGUCCUAGAAAUGGAGUUUCUAUAUCAAUCUGCUUCAUAACCUUGGGGAGUCUUGUGAUGAGUACUGGUGGAAAAGCGUUUAGAUGAAGAUAAAUGAAAGCCUUACUAAGCCAAAUUCAUUUUAUUUAGACAUGCAAGUCACAUGGAAAUAAAUGUUAUUUAGGAGUAAUGUAAGUUGUAAAUCUGUUUUUUCCUUAACAUGAAUUGUAUAUGUUUAGAACUGCCUGGUGUAUAGUCUGGGCCAGGGGCCAGUUUUUCUCGGACUAAGGCUAAAUCCUGUAAAUUCA